AAUGCUCCUGAUACGGCAGAAUGAUGAACCUUCUCUCUGUCGGGGUGCUUUUUUACCUGAGUGGGCUUAGAAAGAUGAACCUUCUCUCUGUCGGGGUGAUUCUCUACCUGAGUGGGCUUAGAAGCGGAACAGUGAUCCAGGUGGGCCCUGGCAGUGAUGUGAGCGUGAGAUGUGUGGACAGCCAGUCCAACUGGGACAGAAUCAGUGCCAACAGCAUAGAGCUGAGGCUGGACGACACGGCCCAUCUCCUGGUACAGAACUUUCAGCAGCAGGACAAGGGGCUUUACAGAUGUGGCAGUAAGGAAGAGAUCACGCUGGAGGAGAAGCAUGGAUCAGGCGGUGUAAGCGGCCUGCUGUACAGAGCGGUGGGCCAGGAGGCUCGUCUCUUCUGUAAGCACCUGGGGACUGAGACAUGCAAUGGCACGUGGACCAGGCCUCAUCAUCGCUCAAACAGUCAAGAGGUCUUGAUGCCAGGUAGUCCAUACAGAGGGCGAGAUAAAGACUUCUCUUGGCUCAUCCCCUCUGUGAAGUGGGGCGACUCCGGAGUGUUUCAAUGUGAGAUGAGAUGUAACGGAUACCCAAAUAAACUGACAUCAUAUGAGCUUGUAGUUGUCAAGGCCACAGUGGAGCCCCAGCGUGUGUAUGAAGGCGGGCGUGUGAGGCUGUGCUGCUCCGUGUCUCAUCAGAAGAGACCUGGUCAGGUGUGGUGGAUUCAACUGGAUUCCAACAACCAAAACUUCAGUCGUCGUUACCGUGGUACCAGACACAGAUACCCUGAUGGAGAGUUCUGUCAUACCGUGAAAAACAUCCUUCCAGAGCAGAGCCUGUGGGCCUGUGCAGUCUUCCAUGGAGACAGCCUACGAGCCCUGCUGCCUCUCCGUGUGAAUGUGUCCAAACACACCACUACACACACGCCACCUACACUCACGCCACCUAGACACACGCCACCUACACUCACCAAGGCGGUGGGGACAGCCACGACACACAACGAGAGCACCACGGACACCAGAAAUGCCACGGCAACACAGAAGACAGAAUCAUCAGGAGUGCAUGGCCCUCUCAUAAGUGUGUUUGGCCUCGUCGGGCUGGCUCUGGUGAUCCUGACCUCUGUGUUUCUGUGGAGAAGGACAAACAAAGGUACCUAGGCUCUGUCUUUUGUCCUUCAGCCGAGAGGAUUUACAAAACCGCCCGUGGCU
rnacentral:lncRNA from 1 species